AGAUAGCAAGACUUCGAUCGUUAACAAUAAACCGGUCAGUUUGUUGUCGGAUUCAAGUUAUAACCAGUAGAACAACUUGCAGGUUGUAUCCUAAAACACUUGUUUUAUUCUUUAUUCAUGGUACGAGUUGUUCAUUCAGCAGGUUGCAAUAAUGGCCACCGUGUUAUAUGUAUAUGGCUUGGGCAUACACGAACACAUAUACAUAUUUCGAAUGUAGUCUAUCAAAGCAGAACAUUGCCAUUUAUCCAGCUUGGUAAUACUGGUUCCAGUUUUCGAAUUGGAUCAACACGACCAAUUAUUCAUUUAGGUGGUACAAGACCGAUUACCGAUACUCUACUUAUUGCAGGAAAUAUUGAAUUUCCCAUUGAGUUCCUGUUUAGGAGAACAUGAUAUUUCAUACUAAUUAACAAAAUAUUAUCAUGUGGAAAUAUAUGCAUAUUUGUGCUGCAUUGCGUUAACGUAUUAGAAAAAAACUUGUCACUGUGGUAACUUGGAAGCUGUCUCGCAAUUUUUUUUAUGUUGUCCUCUAGACAUGCCUCUCUCGCUUUCUGCACGUUAAGAACCCUUGCAACAACUCUUUGAGGUCCGUAGGUGGCCUGUUGCAAUGCAAAAUUUCUGUCCCUAACCAAUAUACCCUCAUUUUCCAGUAGCAAUCCAAAGUUUCCCACGACCUUCAUCCCGGACUCUAUUCUCGUCCUGAAGAUGCAUGAAAUAUUUUGAAUAACUUCACCUGACGAACAGGAGAGUUUUAAGUAUAACUAUAAAUCAAUAGAGUAUAAAAACUACCAUUUCCUGCCUUUCAAUUUCGCUAAUACAGCUGGAAGACAUUUUUAUAAUUUUGAGAUAUGAUUUGUCCCAAAAGUAAAGCACCACAAUGUAAACACUUUUCGAGAUAGAGGAAGUGCGAUUUUUUCAAUUUGAAUGUAUUGUCUUAACGAAAUGCACUACGAAAUAACUGAUAGUCCCUAGUGACAGUAGUGUGGACAGUGUAUAGCUUGCAAAUUUGUUUCAAACACCUUCCAAAUUUCUUGAUAUUCCAUGCAUAAAAUAUUAAUUAGGGGGGAUGAAAUUACAUGUUGAAAAAAGAUGGGUUGAUGACUUUAUAGGUAAACUAGUGAUUUGGUCCACUUAAAAAAGGUAAAAAAUUAAUAUGUCUGAAGCUGACCAGCUGAAUUAUAGACCACCUUAAAAAAGAUUUGUCCGUAGUUAAAUUUAAAGCAGAUAUACUUUUUUUUAAAUUUUGAUAAAUCACAGAAGUAGAACUCUAAAAAUGUUUUUAGAUAGUGCAAGUGCGAUUUACUAAUUUGAAUUUAUUGUCUAAAAGAAAUGCACUACGAAAUAACUGGAAGUCCCUAGUGUGGACAGUCUAUAAUUUGCAAAACUUAUUCAUUUAUUUCUUUAUAUUUUAUGCUUAAAAUAUUAAGUAAGGGUAUAAAAUAACAUGCUAACAAAAUUGGGGGGAUGAAUUUUAAGGCAAAGAAGUGAUUUAAUCCAGUAAUAAUCCAAAAAACUAGUAUGUCUGAAGCUGUAAAGCUGAAUAAAAGACCCCUCUUAUUAAAGAACUGUUCAUUCUUAGAGUUAGUGAGUUGGUUGACUUUUUUUUAUAAUUUUGAGAUAUGAUUUGUCCCAAAAGUAAAACACUACAAUAUAAAUUCUUAUUGAGAUAGAAUUGAUAGAGGAAGUGCGAUUUUUUUUUAUUUGAAUGUAUUGUCUAAAUGAAAUACAAUACGAAAUAACUGAUAGUCCCUAGUGUGGACAGUGUAUAACUUGCAAAUUUGUUCCAUACACCUUCCAAAUUUCUUUAUAUUUCAUGCAUAAAAUGUUAAGCAGGGGGAUGACAUUACAUGUAUACAAAAUGAGGUUGAUGAAUUUUGAGGUAAAGUGGGGAUUUAGUCCAGUUAAAAGAAGUAAAAAAUUAGUAUGUCUGAAGCUGUCAAGCUGAAUUAUAGACCCCCUUACUAUAGAAUUGUCCAUAUUUUAAGUAAGCGAGUUUAAAACUUUUUUUUCAUAAUUUUGAGAUAUAAUUUGUCCCAAGACUAGAACACUACAAUGUAAACACUUUUUGAGAUAGAGGAAGUGCGAUUUUUUAAAUUUGAAUUUAUUGUCUUAACUAAAUGCACUACGAAAUAACUGGAAGUCCGUAGUGUGGACAGUGUAUAACUUGCAAUUGUUUUUCAUACAACUUCCAAAUUUCUUUAUAUAUUAUGCAUAAAAUAAAAUGAACAUCGAAACUG